GUCAGCAUGGCAGAGUGGUCUAAUGCGUUAGACUUCAA
rnacentral:tRNA from 1 species